rnacentral:rRNA from 1 species
CCGGGCGCACGGGUGAGUAACACGUAUGGAACCUGCCCUAUGCAGGGGGAUAAGCGGAAGAAAUUCCGUCUAAUACCGCAUAACACCUUUAGGAGACAUCUUCUUGGGGGUCAAAGGAGGCGACUCCGGCAUAGGAUGGCCAUGCGUCGCAUUAGCUAGUCGGCGGGGUAACGGCCCACCGAGGCGACGAUGCGUAGGGGUUCUGAGAGGAAGGUCCCCCACACUGGUACUGAGACACGGACCAGACUCCUACGGGAGGCAGCAG